GCUGAUGGAGUAGGAAGUGUUACAAACAGCUGAUCGGAUCGGCAAAGCGUGUUUCUGGAAUAUUUUGUUUUUGUUGCUGCAAGCGCUUUUUAUGCAGUUUUUGCAAAGCUAUAUGUGGAAGGAAACCGUGACCUAGGACAAGCUGAUGGCAUAAAAUCAGAUGGUCUACAACAGCAGAAGACUACAUCAGGUCCCACUCCUGUCAACUAAGACAGCACAGGCUCACCAAAAUUGGAAAUUAGAAGACUGGAAAAACAAUAUGAGCAACAUUCAGAAGGUAGGGUCAGAAUUUUGCAUAAAAAACACGAAAGUGUGUCUCCGUCAUGCCUCGUUCAGGCAGUUUUGCUAUACUAUUGGCUGUAAAUUACUUCAGGUGAAUGGAAUGUCUCUAAAUGCUCAUCUCAGCCAAAAAGCUAAGGAUUUUUUUAAAACUGUGAAUCAUGCAAAACCGCUCUGGUAAAAUGCAGGAAUUGUUUUAAAAAAGGGAAAUGAGCAUAAUAAGUUCCCUUUGACAAUAAUUUUUUUU
ensembl:lncRNA